rnacentral:rRNA from 1 species
UACAGAGGGUGCAAGCGUUAAUCGGAUUUACUGGGCGUAAAGCGUGUGUAGGUGGCUACCUAAGUCGAUUGUGAAAUCCCUGGGCUCAACCUGGGAAUUGCAGUCGAUACUGGGCAGCUCGAGUUCGGUAGAGGGUGACGGAAUUCCUGGUGUAGCGGUGAAAUGCGCAGAUAUCAGGAGGAACACCGGUGGCGAAGGCGGGUCUCUGGGCCGAUACUGACGCUGAGGAGCGAAAGCGUGGGGAGCGAACAGG